AUGUAAAAGUUUACGAGUGUCCAUCCAUCUAUUUUAUCUCUUCAAUCUCUUGUUAUAUUGGAUCUCUCUCAUUGUGGGAAAUUAAAGAGUCUUGAUCAUGCCUCUUUUCCUAAUAAAUUAAGGUAUUUUUAUUGGGAACAAUGUCCACUGGAGUCUUUGUCGUUGGGCUUUUGUGCUAAGAACCUUGUUGAACUUCGUAUGGCACACAGCAAUAUUAAAAAGCUUUGGGAUGGAGUGCAGGAUCUUGUGAAUUUAAAGACAUUAUGGUUGCCUUGGUGUAAACAAUUGGUGGAGCUGCCUAAUUUUUCUAUGGCACGUAAUCUUGAAAUAGUCUAUCUCGGGGGUUGUGAAAGUCUACAUAGUGUUCAUCCAUCUAUUUUAUCUCUCCAAUCUCUUGUUGACUUGGAUGUCUCUAAUUGCAGGGAAUUAGAGAGCCUGAAAGUGAGACUUAUUUAGAAUCUCUCUCUAACCUUGGUGUUCAUGAUUGUCAAAGCCUCAAGAAAUUCUCUUUAUCAUCAAAGAAAUUGGGAAGUUUGUGUUUCGAUGGGACUGGAGUUGAAAUAUUGCAUUUUCUACCAAUGGGAGGUUUCACGGAACUCAGAGAUCUUGAGAUUUUUGGUGAAAGAUUGAGGAGCCUUCCAAUAAGUGAGCUAUGUGGCUUGACAAAUCUUGAGGCAUUUGAAAUUUGGGAUUUCCAGCAGGUGAUUCAUACAACAGAGCUGCGCUCUCUUUUUGAUGCUUGGCGUAAUUUAAAAAUACUAAGUUUGGUAAGAUGCAGUUACUUGCUGGAAAUCCCUGACAAUAUCAAGGCCUUAACAAGCUUGAAACACAUUUCCCUGAGAGACUGUGAGAUGCUUAAGUCUAUACUUGGACUUCCUCCCUUCCUUGAAGAUUUAGAUGCUGAAGGAUGCACUUCAUUGGAGAUCGUAUUUUCUGACUCUCUAGUUUAAAAUCAGUGUCAAUUUGAUUUCCAGGAGUGUAUAAAGUUGGAUGAGUGUUCUCUUCGCUUCAUUGAGAAACUAACUCAUUUCUCUUUGACUUCAGCCUGUAAGGCUAAGUGGCUUCUUCAUGUUGGGGCUUGUUACCCGAGAAGCAGAGUUCCAGAAUGGAUGGAAUAUAAACAUCAGACAGAGGCUUCCAAUGCUAUUGAAUUCAUUUGCAAUCUCGAACGAUCACCAACCAUCUUGUGUUGCUGCAUUGUUCCUCCUCAUCUCUGCUUACCUUCCGUGCAGCAGAUCUAUUGUGAUUUCUCUUAUGAUGAUAGCAACAAGUUCUGCAAUUCAUUUCCUUCUUAUUGUGGGCAUAAAAUCGAGCCGUUUCAUGUUUACAUAUGGCACCUGGAAUUGGGAAGGGCUUCAUUUGGCGGUGGAACAGGUAAUGUUGCCAAGAUUUCAUGUGAAUUCUAUGCGGGAUAUUGCAAUGAUGUUUAUCAAGAUAAUGGAGAGGUAGAGAAAGUUCCAAUGAAAGCAUGUGGAGUGCAUGUGACAUAUAACUCACAGUCGGACUCGGAUGAAGAACGACUCCCUCCAACAAAUCCCAUGACGACUUAACCUGUCACCCCUUGCAACUGAAAUUUAUUCGCAAGAGCAAACGAAAGCAUCACCACCCACACAUACAGUUUCUUUGAUAUGUCUUUGCAGUUGCUUCUUGUCUCAAGAGCAAGUCCAAAAUGCAAUGGUGAAGAGUCUUUUUGCUAAUGAUCAUUGAGGUGUCUUUGACAUGUGAAUCAUAUGUAACAAGGGUACCAUUAUUGUGACAAUUUUAUAUUUAAUUUCCUUAUGGAAGAAACAUCAUUAUCUGGCUUCCUCAACUAGCCGUUGCAUGUGAGUAUUGUAUAGCCUUUUAUAUGGAAUAAACCAGUGAUUCAUUUU